UACGUAGGGUGCGAGCGUUGUCCGGAAUUAUUGGGCGUAAAGAGCUCGUAGGCGGUGUGUCACGUCGUUCGUGAAAACCUGCAGCUUAACUGUGGGCGUGCGGGCGAUACGGGCAGACUGGAGUACUGCAGGGGAGACUGGAAUUCCUGGUGUAGCGGUGGAAUGCGCAGAUAUCAGGAGGAACACCGGUGGCGAAGGCGGGUCUCUGGGCCAGUAACUGACGCUGAGGAGCGAAAGCGUGGGGAGCGAACAGG
rnacentral:rRNA from 1 species